UGUUAAAAAUUCCAUCCAUUUGUAUUAUUAAAAAUUAGCUUAAGUGAUAAAAUAACCAGACAUUGAUAUGUGGCGUGCCACAUAUACCUCAUGCUGACAUAUAAAAAUCAAUUUUUAAUGGUAGAAAUGAAUGAAAAUUUUAACA
rfam:Gossypium raimondii Chr12_contig_833, whole genome shotgun sequence.